GAUGAACGCUAGCGGGAGGCUUAACACAUGCAAGUCGAGCGGGAAGGGUAGCAAUACCCUGAGAGCGGCGCACGGGUGCGUAACGCGUAUGCAACCUGCCUUAUACAGGGGGAUAGCCCAUGGAAACGUGGAUUAAUAUCCCAUAGGACUUAUGAAUCGCAUGGUUUAUAAGUUAAAACUACGGUGGUAUAAGAUGGGCAUGCGUCUGAUUAGGUAGUUGGUAGGGUAACGGCCUACCAAGCCGACGAUCAGUAGGGGUUCUGAGAGGAUUACCCCCCACACUGGUACUGAGACACGGACCAGACUCCUACGGGAGGCAGCAGUGAGGAAUAUUGGUCAAUGGGCGAGAGCCUGAACCAGCCAUCCCGCGUGCAGGAUGACGGCCCUAUGGGUUGUAAACUGCUUUUCUACCCCAAGAAACCUGAUUACGUGUAAUCAGUUGACGGUAGGGUAGGAAUAAGCAUCGGCUAACUCCGUGCCAGCAGCCGCGGUAAUACGGAGGAUGCAAGCGUUAUCCGGAUUCAUUGGGUUUAAAGGGUGCGCAGGUGGGAAUGUAAGUCAGUGGUGAAAUACUGCCGCUUAACGGUAGAGCUGCCAUUGAUACUGCGUUUCUUGAGUAUGGUUGAGGUAGGUGGAAUGUGUUGUGUAGCGGUGAAAUGCAUAGAUAUGACACAGAACGCCGAUUGCGAAGGCAACUUACUAAGCCAUUACUGACGCUGAGGCACGAAAGCGUGGGUAGCGAACAGGAUUAGAUACCCUGGUAGUCCACGCUGUAAACGAUGUUCACUCGCUGUUUGCGAUACA
rnacentral:rRNA from 1 species